GAUGCGUAGCCGACUGAGGGUGGAUACGGCCACAUUGGGACUGAGACACGGCCCAAACUCCUACGGGAGGCAGCAG
rnacentral:rRNA from 1 species